rnacentral:rRNA from 1 species
UACGUAGGGUGCGAGCGUUAAUCGGAAUUACUGGGCGUAAAGCGUGCGCAGGCGGUUUUGUAAGCCAGAUGUGAAAGCCCCGGGCUUAACCUGGGAAUGGCAUUUGGGACUGCAAGGCUUGAGAUUGGGAGAGGGAUGCGGAAUUCCAGGUGUAGCGGUGAAAUGCGUAGAUAUCUGGAGGAACACCGGUGGCGAAGGCGGCAUCCUGGACCAACACUGACGCUGAGGAGCGAAAGCCAGGGGAGCAAACGGG